rnacentral:rRNA from 1 species
UACGUAGGGUGCGAGCGUUAAUCGGGUUUACUGGGCGUAAAGCGUGCGCAGGCGGCCCGUUAAGACAGGUGUGAAAUCCCUGGGCUCAACCUAGGAAUUGCGCUUGUGACUGGCGGGCUCGAGUACGGUAGAGGGGGGUGGAAUUCCUGGUGUAGCAGUGAAAUGCGUAGAGAUCAGGAGGAACACCGAUGGCGAAGGCAGCCCCCUGGGCCUGUACUGACGCUCAUGCACGAAAGCGUGGGGAGCAAACAGG